GCUGACGCGUCCCGGCCAAUCUCCAGCAGACCCUCCCUCCCAGACCCUCCUACUUCCUGGACAGCAUCCAUGUUGAAACAUGUUGAAACAUGGAUGCUGUCCAGGAAGUAGGAGGGUCUGGGAGGGAGGGUCUGCUGGAGAUUGGCCGGGACGCGUCAG